UACAGAGGGUGCAAGCGUUAAUCGGAAUUACUGGGCGUAAAGCGUGCGUAGGCGGUUGCGUAAGUCAGAUGUGAAAGCCCCGGGCUCAACCUGGGAAUUGCAUUUGAGACUGCGUAGCUAGGGUACGGUAGAGGGAAGCGGAAUUUCCGGUGUAGCGGUGAAAUGCGUAGAUAUCGGAAGGAACAUCAGUGGCGAAAGCGGCUUCCUGGACCAGUACCGACGUUCAGGCACGAAAGCGUGGGGAGCAAACAGG
rnacentral:rRNA from 1 species